rnacentral:rRNA from 1 species
GACGAACGCUGGCGGCGUGCCUAAUACAUGCAAGUUGAGCGCUGAAGGUUGGUCCUUGUACCAACUGGAUGAGCAGCGAACGGGUGAGUAACGCGUGGGGAAUCUGCCUUUGAGCGGGGGACAACAUUUGGAAACGAAUGCUAAUACCGCAUAAAAACUUUAAACACAAGUUUUAAGUUUGAAAGAUGCAAUUGCAUCACUCAAAGAUGAUCCCGCGUUGUAUUAGCUAGUUGGUGAGGUAAAGGCUCACCAAGGCGAUGAUACAUAGCCGACCUGAGAGGGUGAUCGGCCACAUUGGGACUGAGACACGGCCCAAACGCCUACGGGAGGCAGCAGUAGGGAAUCUUCGGCAAUGGACGAAAGUCUGACCGAGCAACGCCGCGUGAGUGAAGAAGGUUUUCGGAUCGUAAAACUCUGUUGGUAGAGAAGAACGUUGGUGAGAGUGGAAAGCUCAUCAAGUGACGGUAACUACCCAGAAAGGGACGGCUAACUACGUG